rnacentral:tRNA from 1 species
UCCCCAGUGGUUCAGUGGUUAGAACGCCUCGCUUCCAAUGCAGGGGGCACAAGUUCAGUCCCUGGUUGGGGAA